CGAGAAAGCCCGCAAGGGUGAGUAAAGCGGCGCACGGGUGCGUAACACGUGGGUAAUCUGCCCUGAAGUCCGGAAUAACUCGCCGAAAGGCGUGCUAAUGCCGGAUGAGACCACGGGAGCCUCGGCUCCUGCGGGAAAAGGUGGCCUCUGUAUACAAGCUAUCACUUCAGGAUGAGCCCGCGGCCCAUCAGCUCGUUGGCGGGGUAAUGGCCCACCAAGGCUACGACGGGUAGCUGGUCUGAGAGGACGAUCAGCCACACUGGAACUGAGACACGGUCCAGACUCCUACGGGAGGCAGCAGUGGGGAAUCUUGCGCAAUGGGCGAAAGCCUGACGCAGCAACGCCGCGUGUGUGAUGAAGGUCUUCGGAUCGUAAAGCACUGUCGCGAGGGACG
rnacentral:rRNA from 1 species